rnacentral:lncRNA from 1 species
UUUCUAAAUACUAAAAUUGAGAAUGGAAAUGGGGAAUGUGUCAAAGAGACAACAACCCGACCAAAUAAAAAACAACAGCAGAGGGUCACCAACAGGUCUUCAAUGUAGCGAGAAAUUCCCGCACCCGGAGGCGUCCUUCAGCUGGCCCCUAAACAAAUAUAUACUAGUCCAGUGAUAAUGAACGCCAUACUAAUUUCCAAAUUGUACACAAGAAACUAAAAUUAAAAUAAUACAAGACAAACAAAGGCCAGAGGCUCCUGACUUGGGACAGGCGAAAAAAUGCGGCGGGGUUAAACAUGUUUGUGAGAUCUCAACCUUCCCCCUAUACCUCUAACCAAUGUAGAAAAGUAAACGCAUAACAAUACGCACAUUAAAAUUCAGUUCAAGAGAAGUCCGAGUCUGAUGUCAGAAGAUGUAACCAAAGAAAAUAAACAAAAUGACAAUAAUACAUAAAUAACAACAGACUACUAGCAGUUAACUUACAUGCCAGCUCCAAAUUCAAUUAAACUGACUGAAAGAUUAUGAUUUCAUCAUAUGAACAUCAGGCACAAUCCUUCCCCUUAGGGGUUUAGUAUCAUACCAUCAUAACAUAUAUGAGAAGAACAUAACCCGUGUCAUGCCAAC